UACGAAGGGGGCUAGCGUUGCUCGGAAUGACUGGGCGUAAAGGGCGCGUAGGCGGCGGUCACAGUCAGAUGUGAAAUUCCUGGGCUUAACCUGGGGGCUGCAUUUGAUACGUGGUUGCUUGAGUGGGGAAGAGGGUCGUGGAAUUCCCAGUGUAGAGGUGAAAUUCGUAGAUAUUGGGAAGAACACCGAUGGCGAAGGCAGCCCCCUGGGCUAACACUGACGCUCAGGCACGAAAGCGUGGGGAGCAAACAGG
rnacentral:rRNA from 1 species